rnacentral:lncRNA from 1 species
GGCCGUCACUCUGUCCCGGCAAGGUGGGCGUCUUAGACAAAGUGACCACCUCGCUGAGUGUGAAAUGAAAGCAGACGUCGUCACAUGGAGCGGGGAGUGGCAGUCCCUCAGGGAAGAGCAUGGACAGAGGCACAAAGGCAGGAAAUAAGUUUUUGUAUGUGAGAAACCAAAACCAGUCCCUGUGGGGUAAAGGCUGCAAACAGUGAAUUAAGGUGGGAGGGAUUGG